rnacentral:rRNA from 1 species
UACAGAGGGGGCAAGCGUUGUUCGGAAUUACUGGGCGUAAAGGGCGCGUAGGCGGCCUGUUAAGUCGAACGUGAAAUCCCCAGGCUCAACCUGGGAACUGUGUCCGAUACUGGCAGGCUUGAAUCCGGGAGAGGGAUGCGGAAUUCCAGGUGUAGCGGUGAAAUGCGUAGAUAUCUGGAGGAACACCGGUGGCGAAGGCGGCAUCCUGGACCGGUAUUGACGCUGAGGCGCG